CCUGGUUGAUCCUGCCAGUAAUCAUAUGCUUGUCUCAAAGAUUAAGCCAUGCAUGUCUAAGUACAUGCCGAAAUAAGGCGAAACCGCGAAUGGCUCAUUAAAUCAGUUAUGGUUCCUUAGAUCGUUUCUUCCUACUUGGAUAACUGUGGCAAUUCUAGAGCUAAUACAUGCAGUGAGCCUGGAGCCCUUUGGGUAACGGGUGCUUUUAUUAGACCAAGAUCGAUCGGGUUUCGGCCCGUAUUGUGUGGUGACUCUGGAUAACUUUGUGCUGAUCGCAUGGCCACGAGCCGGCGACGUUUCUUUCAAGUGUCUGCCUUAUCAACUUUCGAUGGUAGGUUACUUGCUUACCAUGGUUGUUACGGGUAACGGAGAAUCAGGGUUCGAUUCCGGAGAGGGAGCCUGAGAAACGGCUACCACAUCCAAGGAAGGCAGCAGGCGCGCAAAUUACCCACUCCCGGCACGGGGAGGUAGUGACGAAAAAUAACAAUACGGGACUCUUUUGAGGCCCCGUAAUUGAAAUGAGUACACUCUAAAUCCUUUAACGAGGAUCAAUUGGAGGGCAAGUCUGGUGCCAGCAGCCGCGGUAAUUCCAGCUCCAAUAGCGUAUACUAAAGCUGCUGCGGUUAAAAAGCUCGUAGUUGGAUCUCAGUUCCAGACGAGUAGUGCAUCUACCCGAUGCGACGGCUCGGACUGAACAUCAUGCCGGUUCUUUCUUGGUGCACUUCAUUGUGUGCCUCGAGAUGGCCGGUGCUUUUACUUUGAAAAAAUUAGAGUGCUCAACGCAGGCGAGUCGCCUGAAUAAACUUGCAUGGAAUAAUAGAACAAGACCUCGUUUCUGUUCUGUUGGUUUUUGGAAUACGAGGUAAUGAUUAAGAGGGACGGACGGGGGCAUUCGUAUUGCGGCGCUAGAGGUGAAAUUCUUGGACCGUCGCAAGACGAACUACUGCGAAAGCAUUUGCCAAGAAUGUUUUCAUUGAUCAAGAACGAAAGUCAGAGGUUCGAAGGCGAUCAGAUACCGCCCUAGUUCUGACCAUAAACGAUGCCAACCAGCGAUCCGCCUGAGUUACUCAAAUGACUCGGCGGGCAGCUUCCGGGAAACCAAAGUAUUUGGGUUCCGGGGGAAGUAUGGUUGCAAAGCUGAAACUUAAAGGAAUUGACGGAAGGGCACCACCAGGAGUGGAGCCUGCGGCUUAAUUUGACUCAACACGGGAAAACUUACCCGGCCCGGACACUGGGAGGAUUGACAGAUUGAGAGCUCUUUCUUGAUUCGGUGGAUGGUGGUGCAUGGCCGUUCUUAGUUGGUGGAGCGAUUUGUCUGGUUAAUUCCGAUAACGAACGAGACUCUAGCCUAUUAAAUAGGUGCGGGGUUCCCAGCACCUUACAACCUUCUUAGAGGGACAAGCGGCUCCUAGCCGCACGAAACAGAGCAAUAACAGGUCUGUGAUGCCCUUAGAUGUCCGGGGCCGCACGCGCGCUA
rnacentral:rRNA from 1 species